AAUCAUGAGAGUUUGAUCCUAGCUCAGGAUGAACGCUAGCUGUGUGCUUAAUACAUGCAUGUUGAACGGGAUAGUAUUUUAGUUUUACUAAAGUAUUGUUUUAGUAGCAAAUGGGUGAGUAACACGUACCUAACCUACCUUUUGGACUGGGAUAACCAUUGGAAACAGUGGCUAAUACCGGAUAUAAUAAAAAUUCAUAUGAAUUUUUAUGAAAAGGAGCGAAAAUAAGCUCCACCAAAAAAUGGGGGUGCGCAACAUUAGUUAGUUGGUAGGGUAAAGGCCUACCAAGACGAUGAUGUUUAGCGGGGCCAAGAGGUUGUACCGCCACACUGGGAUUGAGAUACGGCCCAGACUCCUACGGGAGGCAGCAGUAAGGAAUAUUCCACAAUGAGCGAAAGCUUGAUGGAGCGACACAGCGUGCAGGAUGAAGUCUUUAGGUAUGUAAACUGCUGUUGUAAGGGAAGAAAAAAUUAGGUAGGAAAUGAUCUAAUCUUGACGGUACCUUACUAGAAAGCGACGGCAAACUAUGUGCCAGCAGCCGCGGUAAUACAUAGGUCGCAAGCGUUAUCCGGAAUUAUUGGGCGUAAAGCGUUCGUAGGUUUUUUGUUAAGUUUAAGGUUAAAUGCUAAAGCUCAACUUUAGUCCGCUUUAGAUACUGGCAAAAUAGAAUUAUGAAGAGGUUAGCGGAAUUCCUAGUGGAGUGGUGGAAUACGUAGAUAUUAGGAAGAACACCAAUAGGCGAAGGCAGCUAACUGGUCAUAUAUUGACACUGAGGGACGAAAGCGUGGGGAGCAAACAGGAUUAGAUACCCUGGUAGUCCACGCCGUAAACGAUGAUCAUUAGUUGGUGGCAGAAGUCACUAGCGCAGCUAACGCGUUAAAUGAUCCGCCUGAGUAGUAUGCUCGCAAGAGUGAAACUUAAAGGAAUUGACGGGAACCCGCACAAGCGGUGGAGCAUGUGGUUUAAUUUGAAGAUACGCGUAGAACCUUACCCACUCUUGACAUUCUCGCAAAACUAUAGAGAUAUAGCGGAGGCUAACGAGAUUAC
rnacentral:rRNA from 1 species